GCGACCCCAGGAUGGGCGAGGUCACCCGCUGAGUUUAA
rnacentral:rRNA from 2 species